UCAAAAAACUGAUCCAAGCCCUUCUUUGAUGUGACACAUUAAACUGUUGUUUGCUUUGCUGAAACAAAUCUAUUAAACACUAAACCGAUGUAAAUUGAAUUGUGGUAACGUAAUAGUUUCACCUUGACAUUCAUGAACUCAAAACAAAUGAGUUUCAUUUGAAUUGGGACCGCCGCAGCGCGCUCUCAGCCUCCGUUCCUCCCGCUCCUUUUUCACUGACAACUUCUGCCAACGCUGCUGCGGGGUUUUACUUUACAGAGCCACGGAAAGCUGCUGUAAUUCCACUCCUUGUGCGAUGACAUCAACAUAAGGAGGGAGUUCAUCCUGAGAAGCCUUGUUGUCUAUGUCAGUGAAGACCCAGAUGUGUUUUUCAAGGAAUAUUUGUCCUCUGCAGCUGAGGAUGCAGAGAGGGACAUCGCCACAACAGUCAUGGGGAUUUACACAAUCCGAA